rnacentral:rRNA from 1 species
GACGAACGCUGGCGGCGUGCUUAACACAUGCAAGUCGAGCGGUAAGGCCCUUUCGGGGGUACGACGAGCGGCGAACGGGUGAGUAACACGUGGGUGACCUGCCCUCAGCUCUGGGAUAAGCCUGGGAAACUGGGUCUAAUACUGGAUAUGACUCCACGGUGCAUGUCGUGGGGUGGAAAGCCUUGUGCGGCUGAGGAUGGGCCCGCGGCCUAUCAGCUUGUUGGUGGGGUGAGGCCUACCAAGGCGACGACGGGUAGCCGGCCUGAGA